UCCGGAAUUAUUGGGCGUAAAGCGCGCGUAGGCGGUUUUUUAAGUCUGAUGUGAAAGCCCACGGCUCAACCGUGGAGGGUCAUUGGAAACUGGAAAACUUGAGUGCAGAAGAGGAAAGUGGAAUUCCAUGUGUAGCGGUGAAAUGCGCAGAGAUAUGGAGGAACACCAGUGGCGAAGGCGACUUUCUGGUCUGUAACUGACGCUGAUGUGCGAAAGCGUGGGGAUCAAACAGCAUUAGAUACCCUGGUAGUCCACGCCGUAAACGAUGUCAACUAGCCGUUGGGGAUCUUGAAUCCUUAGUGGCGCAGCUAACGCACUAAGUUGACCGCCUGGGGAGUACGGCCGCAAGGUUAAAACUCAAAUGAAUUGACGGGGGCCCGCACAAGCAGUGGAGCAUGUGGUUUAAUUCGACGCAACGCGAAGAACCUUACCUGGCCUUGACAUGCAGAGAACUUUCCAGAGAUGGAUUGGUGCCUUCGGGAACUCUGACACAGGUGCUGCAUGGCCGUCGUCAGCUCGUGUCGUGAGAUGUUGGGUUAAGUC
rnacentral:rRNA from 11 species